GUGAGGUAACGGCUCACCAAGGCAUCGACGGGUAGCUGGUCUGAGAGGACGACCAGCCACACUGGGACUGAGACACAGCCCAGACUCCUACGGGAGGCAGCAGCGGGGAAUAUUGCGCAAUGGGCGAAAGCCUGACGCAGCGACGCCGCGUGGGGGAGGAAGGCCUUAGGGUUGUAAACCCCUGUCAGGUGGGACGAACCCCGGGUCGGUUAAUAAUCGGCUCGACUGACGGUACCACCAGAGGAAGCUCCGGCUAACUCCGUGCCAGCAGCCGCGGUAAUACGGAGGGAGCUAGCGUUGUUCGGAAUUACUGGGCGUAAAGGGCGCGUAGGCGGUCGGGUAAGUCGGGUGUGAAAUUCCGGGGCUCAACCCCGCGAACUGCAUCCGAUACUGCUCGACUUGAGAGAGGUAGGGGCGAGUGGAAUUCCCGGUGUAGCGGUGGAAUGCGUAGAUAUCGGGAAGAACACCGGUGGCGAAGGCGGCUCGCUGGACCUUUUCUGACGCUGAAGCGCGAAAGCGUGGGGAGCAAACAGGAUUAGAUACCCUGGUAGUCCACGCCGUAAACGAUGGGUACUAGGUGUUGGGAGGAUUGACCCUUUCAGUGCCGACGCUAACGCAUUAAGUA
rnacentral:rRNA from 1 species